rnacentral:rRNA from 1 species
GACGUAGGGCGCGAGCGUUGUCCGGAUUUAUUGGGCGUAAAGAGCUCGUAGGCGGUUUGUCGCGUCGUCUGUGAAAACCCACGGCUCAACUGUGGGCUUGCAGUCGAUACGGGCAGGCUAGAGUUCGGUAGGGGAGACUGGAAUUCCCGGUGUAGCGGUGAAAUGCGCAGAUAUCGGGAAGAACACCCGUGGCGAAGGCGGCUCUCUGGGACGGUACUGACGCUGAGACGCGAAAGCGUGGGGAGCGAACAGG